ACAAGCCUGAGAAACGGCUAGUAGGACUAAGGUCUGCAGCAGGCGCGAAACUUACACAAUGCUAGAUUUAUAAUGAUUAGCGAUGUAGUGAAGAAAAAUAACGAUGUGCUUGUAUUUAAACAUACUUGCACAAUUGGAAUGAGACGACCUUAAAACAGUCAGUCGAGUAACAAAUGGAGGGCAAGUCUGGUGCCAGCAGCCGCGGUAAUUCCAGCUCCAUUAGCAUACAUUAAAGUUGUUGCGGUUAAAAAGCUCGUAGUUGAAUUUUGGACGGGCGCUUGGACGCGGCGGCCGUCAAGGCUUUUCUUCGGAUCAGCUGGUCGUCGUUUGUCUGCGGCGCUCGUUGUUUCGUCACUUAAUCGAGUGCGAAGCGGGCCGGUGUGAAAAUACAACUUCGGUUGUUCGCAACGGCAUGUUUACCUUGAGAAAAUUAGAGUGCUCAGAGCAGGCAGUUGGGAUGUAAAAGUCUCUUUAUGCUUGAAUAAUGUUGCAUGGAAUAAUAGAAUACGGCCUCGGUUCUAUUCUGUUGGUCUUAUAGAACAACAAACAAGUUGGCCUGGGGCGUCAACGGGUGUUGGUUGGCGUGGUCGUCAAGUGCUUGUUGUCUAGAGGUAAAACUUUAGUACCAUCGCUUGGCAACCAUUAAAGCGCCCUCCUCUCAUCCAGCCCCUCCAACUGAGGCAAUGGUUAAAAGAAAUAGUCGCGGCGGCAUCAGUACUGCAUCGUGAGAG
rnacentral:rRNA from 1 species